rnacentral:rRNA from 1 species
CAGGCCUAACACAUGCAAGUCGUACGGUGACGUGGAAGCUCGCUCGAGGUGAUCAGAGGCGAACGGGUGAGUAACACGUGCGCCACUCGCCGAGUACUCUGGGAUGACAGCUGGAAACAGUUUCUGAUACCAUAUGAGACCUCCAUGGACAUAGGAGGAGGUGGAAAGGUCCGGCGGUCAAGAAAGGGCUCGCGCCAUAUCAGCUAGUUGGUGAGUAGACGGCUCACCGAGGCUUACACGUGGUACCCCGCCUGAGAGGUCGACCGACCACACUGGGAAUGACAUGCGGCCCACACUCCUAAGAGAGGCAGCAGUGGGAAAUAUUGCACAAUGGGAGCACGCGAGACAGCAGCAACCCCGUGUGGGGGAUCACCGCUUUCGGGUUGUACACCGCUUACAGCUACCGACGAAGCACAAGUGGCUUCUAUGAACAGAAGAAGGACCGGCCAAAUAUGCGACCGCACACCGCG